CCCUUAGAUGUCCUGGGCCGCACGCGCGCUACACUGAUGCAUUCAACGAGCUUUACCUUGGCCGAGAGGCCUGGGCAAUCUUGUUAACGUGCAUCGUGAUAGGGAUAGAUUAUUGAAAUUAUUAAUCUUGAACGAGGAAUUCCUAGUAAACGCAGAUCAUCAAUCUGCAUUGAUUACGUCCCUGCCCUUUGUACACACCGCCCGUCGCACCUACCGAUUGGAUGGUCCGGUGAAGCCUCGGGAUUGUGGUUCUUGCCGCUUUAUUGUGGCGUGACCGCGAGAACUUGUCUAAACCUUAUCAUCUAGAGGAAGGUGAAGUCGUAACA
rnacentral:rRNA from 1 species